AACGAACGCUGGCGGCAUGCCUAACACAUGCAAGUCGAACGAGACCUUCGGGUCUAGUGGCGCACGGGUGCGUAACGCGUGGGAACCUGCCCUUAGGUUCGGAAUAACUCCCCGAAAGGGGUGCUAAUACCGGAUAAUGUCUUCGGACCAAAGAUUUAUCGCCUUUGGAUGGGCCCGCGUUGGAUUAGCUAGUUGGUAGGGUAAAAGCCUACCAAGGCGACGAUCUAUAGCUGGUCUGAGAGGAUGAUCAGCCACACUGGGACUGAGACACGGCCCAGACUCCUACGGGAGGCAGCAGUGGGGAAUAUUGGACAAUGGGCGAAAGCCUGAUCCAGCAAUGCCGCGUGAGUGAUGAAGGCCUUAGGGUUGUAAAGCUCUUUUACCCGGGAUGAUAAUGACAGUACCGGGAGAAUAAGCUCCGGCUAACUCCAU
rnacentral:rRNA from 1 species